AUGGCGGAUGCACCUCUUUACAAGCAGCGCCGCAGGUACACCAGGGAGCUCCACGACAUCGAUCUCCACGGCAACCACAAGCUCCACGUUGUUUGCACAAGCAAGGGUGAAGACGUGGACAAGAUGCUGUCCAUGCUAAGGAGGAAGCUUGGCGGAAUGCCCGUCAAACUAGUCGGUGUUGAUGUCGAGUACACGCACUACGUGAAGCCACAGCGGGCAGCAGUGCUCCAGCUAUGUGUAGAAAAAGAAUGCCUUGUCUACCACAUCUCUGCAGCUAAAGACAGGCCAAUGGAACUAGACUAA
rnacentral:rRNA from 1 species